AACUGUCUGGUGGGCAAAAGCAAAGAAUUGCCAUUGCAAGAGCAAUUUUAAAAGAUCCACGGAUAUUACUGUUAGAUGAAGCAACAAGUGCAUUAGAUGCAGAAUCUGAGAGAGUUGUACAAGAAGCAUUGGAUAGAAUUAUGAUCAACAGAACAACCGUUAUAGUUGCACAUCGAUUGACCACAGUAAGGAAUGCUGAUAUGAUUGCAGUCAUUCAUCGGGGAAAAGUUGUUGAAAAAGGUAUUGAACCAUAUAGACUCAGUUAGAUAUGCUAUUCUCUGUCCUCCGGAUGACCAUCAAUAUUGACUUCACUAUUAUUCUGUUCAACAACAUAUACUAAUAAAGAAUGUUAUAGUAGUCUGGUUAGCAUAUUAAAUGACAAAUUCAUCUCGUCUUAGUUCAGACCCAUCCAAACAAGAACCAAUAACUUUUUCAUUAGUAUUAUUUGUAUGUGUUGUUUCAAUCACUAUAGACUCUUAUGAACCUAAUGCUUGUUUUCUGAAUCUGUAAGUCUUUCCUAGCAGAGGCCAUUAGUAUUAUUUGUGUGUGUUGUUUCAAUCACUAUAGACUCUUAUGAACCUAAUGCUUGUUUUCUGAAUCUUUAAGUCUUCCCUAGCAGAGCUUUAAAGGACACUUCAACUGCGAGUUUCUUUUCCGUCUGAAUGAAUUUCUUAAAAGAAAGACGACACAAACAUUCACUUUAACGUCAUUGCUGUGGACUGUUCAGGCACACAUGGUGAACUACUCAAGGAUCCUGAGGGAGCAUACUCUCAGCUUAUACGCUUACAAGAAGUGAACAAUGAAACAAAAAAAUCAGGCUUAGAUGAGAGGGACAGCAUAGAUAAGUCUAUGGGAUCUGGUAGACAGUCAAGUCAAAGAAUAUCACUAAUGCGAUCUAUCAGUCGGAGUUCAUCUGGUGUAGGAAAUAGCAGCCGCCGUUCACUCUCCAUAUCACUUGGUUUAGCUACUGGACUUAGUGUACCUGAAACAGCUAACACAGACACAGAAAUGGGUAUCCCGGAAGUAGCUGGAAAGCGGUUAGAGGUCCCCAUCCGUCGCCUAGCGUAUCUCAACAAGCCUGAAAUACCUGUGAUGAUUAUUGGAACUGUGGCUGCAAUUAUUAAUGGUGCUAUACUUCCAAUUUUCGGAAUAUUACUCUCUAGUGUGAUCAAAACAUUUUAUGAGCCACCACAUGAACUAAGGAAGGACUCAAGGUUUUGGGCUCUUAUGUUUGUUCUUCUUGGAGCUGUAACUUUAAUUGCCUUUCCUGCAAGGACAUACUUUUUCAGUAUAGCUGGUUGUAAGUUGAUAAGAAGAAUUAGAUCAAUGUGCUUUGAGAAGGUGGUCCACAUGGAGGUAGGAUGGUUUGAUGAAUCUGAGCACUCCACUGGAAUCAUUGGCGCUAGACUUUCUGCUGAUGCAGCUGCAGUCCGUGGUUUAGUAGGAGAUGCACUUGCUCAAAUGGUUCAAGAUACUGCAACAUCAAUUGUAGGUUUAGCUAUUGCUUUUGAAGCGAGUUGGCAGUUGGCACUUAUCGUUCUUGUUAUGAUACCUCUAAUUGGAUUAAAUGGAUAUAUCCAAAUCAAGUUCAUGAAAGGGUUCAGUGCAGAUGCAAAGGUUUGUCCAAAUCCUUAUUAAAUAGCUUACUGUUGCUGGUGAUAUUAAAAAAUAUGGAUAAUUGAGUCUUAAACUUGAAAGUUUUUCUCAAACAUCAGUCAAAUCACUACAUUACCCAAGCUAUAAAUCUUUUUAACCUUCAGAUGGUUAUUUUUUUAUUACUCCAUCCGUCCCAAUCGCUGUGACACACUUUCCUUUUUAGUCUGUCCCAAAAAGAAUAUCUCCUUUCUAUAAUUAGAAACAACUUAAUUUUAAAUUGCACACAAAUGUCGAAGUUUUGUUUUAGACCAAAAAUUUGAGAAGACUCCGUUUCUUUCUUAAACUUAGCACCUAAUCCAAUGGUGCCACAUAGAUUGGGACGGAGGGAGUAUCUUUUACCAUUGCCAGAUUCUCUUGGUGAUAAUGUUUCUGAUUAAUCGUACUUUACACAGAUGAUGUAUGAGGAAGCAAGUCAAGUUGCGAACGAUGCUGUUGGAGGUAUAAGAACUGUUGCGUCAUUUUGUGCAGAAGAGAAGGUGAUGGAAAUAUACAGAAAAAAGUGUGAAGGCCCAUUGAAGGCAGGAAUAAAGCAAGGUUUGAUUAGUGGGAUUGGGUUUGGUGUAUCAUUUGCUUUGCUGUUUUGUGUAUAUGCAACCAGUUUUUAUGCGGGAGCUCGUCUUGUUCAAGAUGGCAAAAUCACUUUUUCAGACGUCUUCCGGGUAUGUGGCACAAUACCCCCUGUUACAUUUUUACAUUUUUUUUCAGGAUUUUAGUAAAUGUCUGUUAUGAGGCUAAUGUGGAGUAUUUGCGACCUGGCAGGUUUUCUUUGCUCUGACGAUGGCAGCUAUAGGAAUUUCCCAGUCAAGCUCAUUGGCUCCAGAUUCAAGCAAGGCCAAGAGUGCAGCUGCUUCCGUAUUUGCUAUUCUAGACAGGAAAUCAAAAAUCGAUCCAAGUGAUGAUUCUGGUAUGACACUGGAUACUGUGAAGGGAGAUAUUGAGCUGAAGCACGUAAGCUUUAAGUAUCCAACAAGGCCAGAUGUUCAAAUUUUAAGAGACCUUUGUUUGACCAUUCGCAGUGGAAAGGUGAAUUUACUCAUGUUUGAUUUCAUCUUAAAUAUCGUUUUUCCAGGACAAAGUAAGGCAUAUAGAGUUUACCAUACUGGUAAAAUAAAAUUCAUUGGUUAACUUUGUUAUGCGUUGAGAUUUCAGACAGUUGCUUUGGUUGGGGAGAGCGGAUGUGGAAAGUCUACUGUAAUAUCAUUGCUGCAAAGGUUUUAUGAUCCUGAUUCAGGUCAGAUUUCAUUGGACGGAAUAGAAAUUCAGAAGUUCCAGGUAAAAUGGCUAAGGCAGCAAAUGGGGCUCGUAAGCCAAGAGCCAGUGUUGUUCAACGACACAAUCCGAGCCAAUAUUGCAUAUGGAAAGGAAGGAAAUGCAACAGAAGCAGAAGUUUUAGCAGCAGCUGAAUUAGCAAACGCUCACAAGUUCAUCAGUGGUCUGCAACAGGUAAUUAGUUUGAAUAUUAUAAAUCUCCAUAUAUAGAUAUAUUGUCAAUGGAAAUGAUCGGUGAGCUUACACAUGAAUAUUACAGAGUUAUGAUACGACAGUGGGAGAACGAGGAACUCAGCUGUCAGGUGGGCAAAAGCAACGAGUAGCUAUAGCGAGGGCCAUAUUGAAAAAUCCAAAAAUCCUACUAUUAGAUGAGGCGACAAGCGCAUUGGAUGCAGAAUCAGAGAGAAUAGUUCAAGAUGCACUUGACCGGGUGAUGGUAAAUCGUACAACCGUGGUGGUAGCACAUAGAUUAUCCACCAUCAAAGGAGCAGAUAUAAUUGCUGUGGUGAAAAAUGGAGUAAUUGUGGAGAAAGGGAAACAUGAUACUCUUAUCAAUAUCAAAGAUGGCUUCUAUUCCUCUUUGGUGGCCCUCCACACCAGUGCUUCCUAGUUUUACUACUUCUUAUCCUCUCAAUACUUGUAUUUUAUUAUUUUGUUAUUUUACUGUUUCUUGCAAGUCGUGUAAAGUCUAGCAAGUUAAUGUCAUGAUGUGUUGUGUUUGUUGAGUUCCCUGGCUGCUUCCAGUCUCUCAUUCUGUUUUACUGGUUUUGCAGCACGCGCGCACGUUAUAGCAAUUGAUGACUAUGUUAUAGAAACUUCUAUUUAUACAUGUAUAUUCUUAACAUAUGGUUUUCAUCAUUUGUGCACAUGCUCAUUACUUUAACCAAUUGUAAUUUGAUAGCUUCCCAAAUGGAUCGUCUAGUGGUUGUCAAUAAGAACCUUGUCCUCAACGUUCAAAUAGAUUAUUACUAAGGAGGAAUCAGAUUGUUAAAAAACAUAUUGUGAAGUUGUGCUUCCAUCAUCCCUAGCUAGUAGGAUCUUGUAUUUCUGUAAUUUGAUCUAAAUUUUGUUUUCGUUAGAGAAGAACACUUUUGGUUUCUAAAACUUUUCUAUUCAUCAAGUAGAAUAAAAGAAACAUGUAAUGAAAAAUUAAAAACUAAAAAAGAAAACAACGUAUUUAGCUUAUUAUUUGUUAUAUUCAAGGACAAAUCUUCAAAAUUCAUAAACUUGGUUGGCCAUGUGAAGUUCAUAUUUGCAUACAACUAACUUUAUAUAAUUAUUAUUUUAUUGUUUUGCGUGGUCAACUUCAAAUAUUUUAUCGUAAAUGCUAAUUUUCUAACAGAUAAUAAUCUGAUUAAUAUUAACAAUCAUCAAGCAACAAUAUCUUUGAAUCAAACUUCAACAGGUACCUCAUGAAAAAAAAAGAUAUUUUUAGUUUAUUUUUAGGAGAAACUACACAAUUAGAUAUACUUUACUAUCACAUACACUAUUAUUAUCUAUACUUUCAAAAUAUUACGUAUCUUACCACUAAUUAAGAGUUUUCUAUCGUAUAUUGAGGAAUAUACACUUAGAUAUAUGUAUUUUUGCUACCAGACACACUAAAAUAGGGAGAGAGGCGAGCAAGAUGGGUCCGGAGGCGAGUGAGGUUUGUUAUGUAUUCCCGAUACAUUGUGAAUCACCCUAGAUACAUGCAUUUAUAUGUAUCUGAGAUACUAGAGACAUAAGAGAGUGACGAACAAGAUUUGUUAUGUAUCUCAUAUACAUGCGAAUCUACUUAGAUACAACGUACUACAACAAAUUACACUUAAUUUUGACUUCAUGUAUACCGAGAUACAUGUAUCUAGACACACAAAAUCUGGUAAAAUACGUAAUAUUGCAAUCUAAACUGUAUCUAACUAAUUAGUUUUUUUUAUAGUAUUUAUUAUCAAGGGCAAUUUGGUCAAAGUAGUGGUGACUUGAAUAAUUUCAUUGGUUAUUGGAGAAUUUCUUUCUAGCUCUCUCUGCCCACCACGUUGUCUAAAAUCUUCAAAUCUAUUACUACUACUACGUGCGUACAUAUCGUCAAUAACUCUUAUUAUUCCUUCUUAGUAUAUAGAUUUUUUUUUAAAAUAAAAUAAUUCUCCCACCCCCACGUUCUGUGUUUGAUCUAUUAUUUUUCUUGAAUAACACAACUAUCAUACAUUUUAGUUUGUUCAUAAUUUUUCUACUCAAGCUGAAUACAUAUAAUGUGUUUUACUAAAAUUCCAUUCUUUUUCAUGUCUAACUAAGAAUUAGUCUAAAUUAGUGUUUGUGACAAACAAAACACACAUAGCUAUGGGUGAAGGGAAUGUUUUGAAUGAAAAUAAUACAGUUCCCUUUUACAAGCUCAAUGAAGUCUCAUCAGAAGAACAAGACAAUGCAGGAGGCCAACAGGAUUCAAACAUGACCAAACAAAUCCAAACAGUUCCUUUUUACAAGCUCUUUUCCUUUGCGGAUUCAACGGAUAUAGUUUUGAUGAUCAUUGGAACUAUUGGAGCUAUUGGAAAUGGAUUGUCACUCCCCAUUAUGACUGUUCUUUUCGGAGAAUUGACUGAUUCUUUUGGACAAAACCAAAAUAACAAAGAUGUGCUUCGAAUAGUCACCAAGGUAAUUAACAUCUUCCAACUUCUUAUUUCAUUUUUGAUAUACUAAAAAUCAUCACAAUCUGUCUAAUUUUCAUGUAGAUCUCUCUGAAAAUGGUUUACUUAGCUUUGGCAUGUGGAGUAGCUGCAUUUCUUCGUAAGUGUGAACAUUAAUCUGUCUUUAUUGAGUAUAUAUAGUCAUGAUUGAUGUUUAAAUGUUAUACAGAGGUUGCUUGUUGGAUGAUAUCCGGUGAAAGACAAGCUUCUCGAAUAAGGAGUCUCUAUCUGAAAACUAUUUUACAACAAGAUAUUGCUUUCUAUGAUAACGAAACAAAUACAGGAGAGGUGGUUGGGAGGAUGUCUGGUGACACUGUACUUAUACAAGACGCGAUGGGUGAAAAGGUAUUCAAUGCUGAAAAGCAACUGUUUGCCUUAAAUUGCUUUUUCUAUACUUGAUGUUUUUUCCUUAACUGUGGCAGGUAGGGAAAUGUGUACAGCUGAUAUCGACAUUCAUUGGGGGCUUUGUCAUUGCAUUUACCAAAGGCUGGAUUCUCACGUUUGUUAUGUUAUCCAUCAUUCCUCUACUUAUAAUAUCUGGUGGAGUGAUGUCCCUCAUCCUAUCUAGGAUGGCGUCGAGUGGACAAGAAGCUUACGCCAAGGCUGCAACGGUGGUUGAACAGACAAUUGGAUCUAUUAGAAUAGUAUGUCAUAAUAAGUAAAGCAAUUAUCUUUGUUUUACUUUCUUCUCCAUCAGUACAAGUAUGAUAUGUAUCUUGUUUCCUCCUCAGGUUGCAUCAUUUACAGGGGAGAAGAAGGCUAUAGCAGACUACAAUGAGUCGUUAAUCAAAGCUUAUCAUUCAGGUGCAAAAGAAGGGCUGGCAAGUGGAUUAGGUCUUGGUUCACUUUUUGCUCUUAUGUACUGUAGCUAUGCUUUGGCUAUUUGGUAUGGUGCAAGGCUCAUCUUGGAAAAAGGAUACACAGGUGGUCAGGUUAUCAAUAUAAUUGUUGCUGUGUUAACUGCUUCCAUGUGAGUAUUUUUUUUCUCUUAAAAGCUACAUACAACAAUACAUCAAGUAAAUUGAAGAUGGUGGGAUUUUCUAAGCUUUAAUUCAUGUGUUAUGAUUAAAUAUUUCUAUGUCAGGUCCCUGGGACAGACAUCUCCGUGUAUGUCUGCAUUCGCUGCAGGUAAAGCUGCAGCUUUCAAGAUGUUUGAAACCAUAGAGAGAAAGCCGGAGAUAGAUGCUUAUGAUACCAAUGGAAAAAUAUUGAACGACAUUCGUGGCAAUAUUGAAUUGAAUGAUGUGUACUUCAGUUACCCAGCCAGACCUGAUGAGAAAAUAUUCGGUGGAUUUUCAUUAUUUGUACCAAGUGGCACAACUGCAGCUUUGGUUGGGCAAAGUGGAAGUGGGAAGUCAACAGUCAUAAGUCUAAUAGAAAGAUUUUAUGAUCCUCAAUCUGGUCAAGUUCUGAUUGAUGGAGUUAAUCUCAAGGACUUCCAGCUUAAGUGGAUCAGGGGAAAGAUUGGUCUUGUGAGCCAAGAACCUGUGCUUUUCACAGCAAGCAUUAAGGAAAAUAUUGUGUAUGGAAAGUACGAUGCUACUCCUGAAGAGAUCAGAGCUGCAGUUGAGUUAGCAAAUGCCGCAAAAUUCUUAGAUAAACUCCCACAGGUUUUAUUCUGAACUUAGUCUGGUCAUCUUUCAAAAGUUUGUGCUUCUUCUUUCAGCUUUCUUUGUAAUCACAACUGAGUUGACUCCUGAUUUACCGUUUACAUGAAAACUUCUUUGUUCAGGGUCUAGACACCAUGGUUGGAGAACAUGGAACUCAACUUUCUGGUGGGCAAAAGCAAAGAAUUGCCAUUGCAAGAGCAAUUUUAAAAGAUCCACGGAUAUUACUGCUAGAUGAAGCAACAAGUGCAUUAGAUGCAGAAUCUGAGAGAGUUGUACAAGAAGCAUUGGAUAAAAUUAUGAUCAACAGAACAACCAUCAUAGUUGCACAUCGACUGACCACAGUAAGGAAUGCUGAUAUGAUUGCAGUCAUUCAUCGGGGAAAAGUUGUUGAAAAAGG
rnacentral:lncRNA from 1 species